ACAAAAGACACAAAGCACCAGACUCCACAGCAUCAACACUCUUAGAGCAAGAGCACCACAGCCUCCCAGUCAUUAGUAGUUGUAGAUGUUUCAUCUCCACUUGUGAUAAAGCCUUAUGUUGAAGGCAUUGUAUCAUCAGGUAGCGAAGAUUGGAAGGAAGAAGGGAUCCUAUAGGAGAAAUCUCUGUCGGGAGUUUACCCUUGUGUGGCGUCUGAUGAGAACCUUGUGGCCAUAGAGUGUUCCCUUCAGAUGGAACUGCCUGGCAAGACGGACCUUUUAAGGCUGCAGAAACCAAGAAAAUGACCGAUGGUCUGUGUAGUGGUUGUGUUAGUCCUACUCGGAGUUUUGUCCAGAUCGGGGAUUUUUUCUAGACUGAAGACCCUGUCCUUACAGAGGAUCUUUUUUCCAAAGUGAAGACCUUGUCUUGACAGAGGAUUUUGUCCAAACUGAAGACAUUGUCCCCAUCAUAUUUUUAUAUUCUUGGCCUCUUGUGCCAUGAUUUUAUUUCAAGACAUCCAUGUGUCGUUGCAUGCCAUGAAGUAUUAUGUAAGCCAUCCAUGCAUGGCUUAGUAUUCUAGCUUGAAUGAAGGACUUUAUCUUGAUUGAGGAGUUUAGCUUAACUCCUCUCAUUUGCCUUUCCUGAUACGGGUGAUGCUCCUUGUUGGUCUCUACUUGCACAAAUAUUCAUCCUACAGAUAUUUUAGAUAUAUUUGAGGAUUAUGCUUAUGAUCUUCUAAUUGAUUGGUUUCCCGUGUCCGGCAAUAUCCAUAUGAUCUUCAUCGAAAAGAUUGGGGUAAUAUUUUCUAUCAUAUUCUUUCUUUAGAUUUCAAAAUUUCCAUCAUUUCCAAUCAUAAUUCUUUAAAAAUUUCUUCUUCUAGUUUUGCCUUCACUGAUUUUGUGAUCUCUUUAUAUUUUUCAUUUAUGUUCAAGUGUAUGUAUUCACUAUCCAAGAGAUCGGUUACUUUGAGAAGGCAUUCUUUGGAUGUCGGAUAUCUAUGAUGUAAUAAUUUUCCCCUAUUAAGCUUCUUGCGCAUUUUUAAGCUUCAUUGAUUUCGUCAUAUCUUUUCCAUGACAAAUGUUCAUUGUUUUGUCUUGCAUCAAAAUUUUCUUUUAGAACAUCUUCAAUACUCAUGUAUAUUUCUGGUUUGUUCCAAUCAAAUAUUAUAUAUAGUGUCUUUUCUUUUUACACCUUCCCUUUUGCAGCUUUGGGUGUGCCUUUCUUCAACAUGUUAAAGUAUUCUGAUAGUCUAUUAAGAAUUGCCAACAUGUACCUUUUUCCUUCUCUUUUACAUUUAUAUUUAAACCAGAAAUUAUCGUGUGUCCAUUGCUGGAUUUCAUCAAUAUGGAUAUGGCUCUUUUGUUUCAAAUUGAA